GAUGAACGCUGGCGGCGUGCCUAAUACAUGCAAGUCGAGCGAACAGACGAGGAGCUUGCUCCUCUGACGUUAGCGGCAGACGGGUGAGUAACACGUGGAUAACCUCCCUAUAAGACUGGGAUAACUUCGGGAAACCGGAGCUAAUACCGGAUAAUAUAUUGAACCGCAUGGUUCAAUAGUGAAAGACGGUUUUGCUGUCACUUAUAGAUGGAUCCGCGCCGCAUUAGCUAGUUGGUAAGGUAACGGCUUACCAAGGCAACGAUGCGUAGCCGACCUGAGAGGGUGAUAGGCCACACUGGAACUGAGACACGGUCCAGACGCCUAAGGGAGGCAGCAGUAGGGAAUCUUCCGCAAUGGGCGAAGGCCUGACGGAGCAACGCCGCGUGAGUGAUGAAGGUCUUCGGAGCGUAAAACUCUGUUAUUAGGGAAGAACAAAUGUGUAAGUAACUAUGCACGUCUUGACGGUACCUAAUCAGAAAGCCACGGCUAACUACGUG
rnacentral:rRNA from 1 species